CGCGUAGGCGGUUCGCUAAGUUGGAUGUGAAAACUCUGGGCUCAACCCAGAGCCUGCAUCCAAAACUGGCGGGCUAGAGUUCUGGAGGGGGUAGCGGAAUUCCUGGUGUAGCGGUGAAAUGCGUAGAUAUCAGGAGGAACACCGGUGGCGAAGGCGGCUACCUGGACAGAAACUGACGCUGAGGCGCGAAAGCUAGGGGAGCAAACAGGAUUAGAUACCCUGGUAGUCCUAGCCCUAAACGAUGGAUACUUGGUGUGACGGGGAUUGAAUCCCGUCGUGCCGAAGCUAACGCAUUAAGUAUCCCGCCUGGGGAGUACGGUCGCAAGGCUGAA
rnacentral:rRNA from 1 species